UGAGGAAUAUUGCGCAAUGGGCGAAAGCCUGACGCAGCGACGCCGCGUGGAGGAUGGAGGCCUUCGGGUCGUAAACUUCUGUUAAACGGGAAGAAAUACACAGACUUAAUAAGUCUGUGGGCUGACGGUACCGUUAGAGAAAGCACCGGCUAACUUCGUGCCAGCAGCCGCGGUAAUACGAAGGGUGCGAGCGUUAUUCGGAAUCAUUGGGCGUAAAGGGUGCGUAGGCGGCAUGCUAAGUCAACUGUUUAAUUUCCCGGCUUAACCGGGAAUCAGCGGUAGAUACUGGCGCGCUAGAGUGUGGAAGAGAGGAAUGGAAUUCUCGGAGUAGCGGUAAAAUGCGUAGAUCUCGAGAGGAACACCAAUGGCGAAGGCAGUUCCUUGGUCCACUACUGACGCUGAGGCACGAAAGCGUGGGGAGCAAACAGG
rnacentral:rRNA from 1 species